GUGUGUUCUUGAGCAGAAACAGAUUGUUUCACGGGAAGGAAACCCAAGUGUGUGAGGCAGAUAUAGAGCGAAGAGAAAACUGCUGUCGCCCACUAAAAUAAUAAUAAUAAAUAUAUAACGUUAAAGGACUAAAACACGAGAUCUACGGCAUCAGUAUCCACAGCACUUCACUUUGAAGUAACAGAGUGUUAUUUGCAGUCUUCUGCCAUGGCUACAAAUAAUGGUUACCCAAUUGACCUCCAACCACAGAAAAAUGCAAUUCAUCCCGCCCCUUCUUAUAACCAGGGACCAGCUAUACCAGGCCCAGGUAAGGGAAUCUGAGGAAAUUUCGAUUUUUUUUUAAUCUUAUCUCCUGUUCUCACUCCUAAUGUUCUUACCUUUGCAAGGUCAAGUGCUCAUGAUGCCAGUUCCACAAAGACCCGCUGGCUGCCCACCAGGAUUGGAGUACCUGACCCAGGUAGAGCUUUUCUGCUGCGUAUGAACAGCACAGUAUGCCACUGUAGGCAGAGAUGGUUUUUUUCUUUCUUCGUGUGUGUGUGAAAUGAGAUAGUGUCUUCUCAGGAAGUGGUGUUUCAGCUUGCAUUGGUUUCCUGGGCUUUGAAAUGAUACAGUAAAUGCCCC
rnacentral:lncRNA from 1 species